rnacentral:sRNA from 1 species
UCCUCCACCUGUUGCGGACAGAUGAAAUGAAUGUGGGUGUCGAAGCCGCCGGCGGUGAGGAUCUUGCCUUCGCCGGCGAUCACCUCGGUGCCGGGACCGAUGAUGAUGGUGACGUUGGGCUGAAUGUCGGGGUUGCCCGCCUUCCCGAUGCCGGCGAUGCGGCCGCCCUUCAAGCCGACAUCGGCCUUGACGAUUCCCCAAUGGUCGAGGAUCAGCGCGUUGGUGAUCACGGUGUCGACCGCCCCCUGUUUGUUCGCGAUCUGGCUCUGACCCAUGCCGUCGCGGA